GACGAACGCUGGCGGCGUGCUUAACACAUGCAAGUCGAACGGAAAGGCCCUGCUUGCAGGGUACUCGAGUGGCGAACGGGUGAGUAACACGUGGGUGAUCUGCCCUGCACUUCGGGAUAAGCCUGGGAAACUGGGUCUAAUACCGGAUAGGAGCCAUUUUUAGUGUGAUGGUUGGAAAGUUUUUUCGGUGUAGGAUGAGCUCGCGGCCUAUCAGCUUGUUGGUGGGGUAAUGGCCUACCAAGGCGGCUACGGGUAGCCGGCCUGAGAGGGUGGACGGCCACACUGGGACUGAGAGACGGCCCAGACUCCUACGGGAGGCAGCAGUGGGGAAGAUUGCACAAUGGGCGCAAGCCUGAUGCAGCGACGCCGCGUGGGGGAUGACGGCCUUCGGGUUGUAAACUACUUUCGCUAGGGACGAAGCUUUUUGUGACGGUACCUAGAUAAGAAGCACCGGCUAACUACGUG
rnacentral:rRNA from 1 species